GCAUAUACAUAUAUAUGGGAAUGGAAAGUUAGUGAAAAACAGAAGUAAGAUACAUCAGCAUAAAGUCUAUUUUAGUGAGUUGUUUGUAUGCUAAAAUGUGCAAGAUAUUAAAAUAGAAAAACUCUUGCGGAAAUCAUAAAAUCAAUAGUCUCUAGUGUGACGUUAGUUUAAAAAAUUUUCUUCAAGGUCAUUAGCGACUAAAAAAUAAAAGAUUACUUUGUAAGUAGUUGAAGAGAUGCCAAAAAAUCAGAUUAUAAGGAUGUCAGUGUCAUCGAAAGCUCUUCAUAUUAUUAUUUAUAUACCAUGGAUUAAAAUUGAAGUACCAGCCAGGUGAUAUUGUAUAGAUGGGGAUUUAAUGGCCAGCGAUCGUUCUAUCAGUAGCCGUACCUUCCAUUCUUGUUCAGUGUAAUGCUCCGGUGAAUAUCCAUAUCGAUAAUAAACAACAGCGACUACUGCAC